CCUGCCAAACACACGAAAGUUAAUGCAACAAAAAAAAAUUCUUGAAAAGAGUUGCAAUACGCAUACUAAAUUAGUCCGAAAAAUUAUUACUGUAUAUUUUCUACAAUAUUUGUUAAAUAUAUUAACUAUUUAGUGAUGUUGUUAAUAUACAGGGAUUCGUUAAAUAUCAAGUAAAUGCGGAAUUCAGUAAAUAUUUUGCUCGUUUCAUGGCUACAAAUGUGCAAUUAAAUUGCACAUUUUAAUUUCUUUAAAAUGUUAUAACAAGAGAUUGUUCUAAUUAGGAAUUACUUAUAUUGAUAUUACUGAAAAACGUACAGUGGAUAUUCCCACAUUCACUUGGCAUGCCCAUAUCUCAGAUUCCACGGCAUAAUAUGUCUUAAAUUUGAGGAAAAAUUGCAGCAGCCUGUAGAUCGCAACCAACAGGUUUUACCAAUGUUUAUGUGGAUUUUAGCCAGAAAAUGAGCUAAGUAUUCAUCCCCUUCCGCAUAUAAAUGCUAUUUAGCAUGCACAUAAAAUACCACUGAUCUUUAAGAAUAUACUAUAGUUUUAAGCGCUAUGGAUGAAAACAAUCUUACUCGAUGUAUAUCUUCUCCAUGUGGGGAAGUUACAGAAGCGAACACAAAACUCCUACAAAAAAGCUUGGUAUCAGAAACAAUAUAAACAUUACUUAGAGAAAAACAGAAUAAAGUAUCGAAAACCAAUUUAGAAUUAUUAGGUAUCGUUCAGUCUUUAUUGAUUAAUAAUUAAUGUUUUCGAAACGAAAUUCAAUUAACAUUAGGUCUGCGAAUAAUGAUACCGAUAUUUUACCAUAAAAAUAUAAUUUUGAUGAUCAUUUAGAUUUGGUUUUAAAAAGAAACAUACAGUUAAUUAUGCUAUGGGAAUGUUUUGCAGUCGUUUCGAACUGUCCUGCAACAUUUGCUCUUCUUGAAUUGCAUGGGCAUUCUUUAUGCGUCAUAUUUAAUAUGCCCUAUUGAACAGAGUCGUUCGUAAAGAGUGUGUUGUGUGCUGCAGUCUGAACUAGUUAAAUUUCAGGUAGAUUGAAAAUGAGCCCGAAGAAGUUGCCCAGUAACAACCCUUAACAUGCAAGUUUUGAUGUUCAACUUUGUCAGAUAAGCUUCAAGACGCAGCUGAAAUGAAGGGAAUAUGAUGCCCGAAGCUGAUACAUAUCUUAGAAAGGACCGAGGCUUGAAAACUGCCGGUCGAAAACAGAUAUUUUUUAAUAUAAGAAAUGUUGAAAGAUAUCGAAAGAGGUUCUUUUAACAUCAUGAUAAACUUAGGAAUGUGGGAAAUUCCUUAUCACGUUUUCAAUACAUACGAUUACUUUGACUAUAACAAGCCUAUUGAAUAUAAAACGGUAAUAUAGGACUUCCUAUAAAUAAAUAGUAAUAAUUUCCUGAAAACCUAAAAAUUCAUAGAAAAUAAGCUUGAUUAUUUGCAACGGUUAUUGUUAAAAAUAGCAUUUGAGUUAUUUAAACUAUGAAGAAAUUCUAUGAAGCGAAUCAACUAAUUACAAAACUUACUUCUUUCUGUCCAUAACUUUCCUAUUCUUCAACAACUUAAUUUUUUAUACAAUUUAGAAACUAUUGUGGCAUUUUCCAAAACACGUUUAUAGAUAGGGAACUGAUGCUGCACGCCUCGAUUGGAAAAACAAGCGAAGAGCAAAAUGAAGCAGAAAACAAAACUUGAUUAUUGUUAUAAGGUUAAGUGCAGAUUCUAGAAACACACCUCAUUUUUACACAAAAUUAAACAUAUUCUUAACAAGUUAAAACUAAUUUUUAAUAAAGGAACACAAUCAACUGAAAGCAACUCAAAUAACAAUGUAACUUUCUAUAUCUGUGCUUUGUUAAGUUCGUGUAUAGACAUUUAAUCUGCGCACUUAAACACACAUGCGGUGAGCAGCCACACUUAUAGUUGCUUGCAAAUGGCCAUAAGUGUGCGUUCGCGCUCAGUUUGGAAGGAUGUUAAUAGCAGCAUAAAAUUGUGCUAAAUAAAACAAUUCAAAUGAUUAUUGUUUAAAUGGGUACAAAUAAACUAAUUGUCGACUCAAAAUUGUCAAAUGUAUUAUUGUAUAAAAUAUUUAUUACAAAAAUCAUUACGAAAAAAAAUUAUGAAUUUUAGCUGGUUUUCUCUACAACGUUUUAUAACAUUAAUUUCAAAAAUUUGGUAAAAAACGACAAAUAUUUUAUUUACAAAAUUAAUUUUAGUAACUUUGUUAUGUGUUUUUUGUAGCAUUUUAGGAGAAAAGAAAUUCUUGUUGAAUCACGUCCUUUGUUGAGUCCAAUUUGCAAUUCUUGCAAUUCUGAAAAAUCGUUUGUGGUUUUCCAAUGUGACUUUUUUAUAAGAAAAUAUGAAAUGAUGUAAAUCCGAGUUGGAUGAUUUAAUAUUUUUUGGUCUACUGUAAAUUUAUUAGUUUUAAGUAAGAAAGCAUUGAAAGUCAUAUAAAUAACGCAAAAUUCAGGGAGUGCGGUCCAUCGAAACCACACGAAGCAUUGCUUCCCUUAGAAAAAUCAUUAUACGUAUAUAUUAUACAUACAUAUAUGUAUUAUAGUAUAAUAUUUUAUUUUAUUUCGUAUUAUUAACAUUCGGUCGACGUUUCAUAACAAAAUAGACAAUACGGCUCCAAUCUUUCCAAGGGUCGUAAGCAUCAUUGGAAGUUAAAUACAAGAAGGAAGAAACAAUGGAUAUGGUAUGUGUCAAAUAUGAGACAAAUCGUGGGGGUAGAACGAAAUAUAGUGGAAGAUAUCAAAUAUUGUAUGCGACAAAUAAUAUGGCACACCACCAUAUCUACUACACACCAUAAAAAACUUAUUAGAAAACAGACAACUACAAGUACGAAUUGACAACACACUCUCCUUUUCUUUUUCCCCUAAACAAGGACUCCCUCAAGGAUCCCCGUUCUCACCCUUUCUAUACAGUAUAUACUGCCAUGACAUAUACAAUUACAACUUACCAGACAAAAAUCAAAUCGACAGAACGGCAUACAUAUUACAAUACGCUGA